UACCCCCCUAAGGAUAUACUAUCUACUCUAAAAAAUUGCAAUCAUGAAUCAUGAUGCUUUAUUAAGUUGACUUGUUAUUUUCAUAACACACAGUAGGGGACUUCAUGUCUCUCAAUAUUCCCAUGCGCCUAUUAUAUUUGAUACUUAGUGGUUGAUGCUUAUCUUCUUGGCUUUUUGAAUGGGAUAAUGGGAAGGAAGGGAGCGGGAUACGGAAUUGAUAGUUUAACGCCUGCAUUUUAUUUCAUCACUAGCAUUACUUCUUUGGUUUCAUUAAUUGUUAUCUUGGAAGCUUCAGGCAUUUUAUGGCUUUCAAGUUGUGGUUUUUAUGUUUAUUAUUUCUAGCAUGGUUCAGAUUUCUAUAAUAUUCAUUAUUUUCUUGUGAGUUCGAAAAUAAAUAUUGCAGGAUCCUGAAGGUCUUUUUCCAUGUAUUCUUGGUCAUGAAGCUACUGGGAUUGUAGAGAGUGUUGGCGAAGGUGUAACUGAAGUUAAGCCCGAAGACCAUGUCAUACCUUGUUACCAGGCAGAAUGUAGGGAAUGCAAGUUUUGCAAAUCGGGGAAGACAAAUUUAUGUGGCAAAGUUAGGGCUGCCACUGGAGUUGGAGUCAUGAUGACUGACCGUAAGAGUCGUUUCUCCGUCAAUGGAACUCCCAUUUAUCAUUUUAUGGGAACUUCGACAUUUAGUCAGUACACUGUUGUCCAUGAUGUUAGUGUUGCAAAGAUUGAUUUAAAUGCCCCAUUGGAGAAAGUGUGCCUUCUUGGUUGUGGUGUUCCCACUGGUAAGCAACUCUUUUGCUUCCAAAUAUAAAUGGUUUUACACUCUAGGGCUUAAUCUUCUUACUAGCUAAUAAAGUGUAUUCAUAAUAAGUUUUACCUUCCCAUAAAUCCUAUGUGCUUGGUUUCAGUUCUACCGGCUUGCUGAGAUUUGAAUCCAAUGGUAUAAUGCAUUUUUUACAUAUGCUACUGAAAUGUGUGUGCUACUAAGGUGUCUUGCUGAGAGAGUCUAUGGUGUUCUGUUCUUAUACUGUAUAACUUCAAAUUGCUCCGAGCUCAUUGUACCAUUUACUUUUUCGGAAUGAAAUCAUGGGAUUGUUGCUAAGAUAUCCAAUAUUUUGCACUCUUUUGAAAAUGUAGGAUAAUUUUGUGAUGGUGUCCUAUCAAAUAUUAUAUGUCGCAGCUACUGUUAAUGACAUGAUAGCGGUUUAUGGCUUCUUAAUUUAAAUUACUAUCAUUUGUAAUCUAAUAUUCAAUUAUCUAAUUGAAUGUAUUAUAUAUUUGUUGUCUCUUAGGUCUUCGAGCAGUUUGGAACACAGCAAAAGUAUAACCAGGUUCCAUUGUUGCUGUUUUUGGCCUUGGGACUGUUGGCCUUGCAGUGAGUUUUUGAACCAUCAGGCCAUAUUUUCUUGUGCUGACUGCCAUACUUGUAUGACAUAAAUAAUUAGAGUAUUACUUGAUAGGUGGCAGAGGGGGCAAAAGCAGCUGGUGCUUCGCGAAUUAUUGGUGUCGAUAUUGACAGCAAAAAGUUUGAUAUAGGGGCUGAUUUUGGCUUUGUUUGGAAUAGAGUGGGUUUUCCAUAGAGAUGUGGUAGGGAUCAUGCUUGGAUGAUGGCGGAAGGGUGUGGAAGCGUAUGCAGGAGAUGACAUUUGGCUCCUCUGUGUUUGCUGCGGCUUUUAUGGAGGGAGGUAAAAAUGAGGGUGUUU